rnacentral:rRNA from 1 species
AUGAAUUUUAAACAACUUGAUCAUGAGCAUGCUGCCCAAUCUUGGGAAAUAAUGAAAUUGAUGAUUCGCAAUUGCCCUACUCAUGGUUUGAAUUUAUGGAUGAUCAUACAAAAAAAUUAUGCCGGUUUGAACUUUGCUUCUAGGAAUCUCUUAGAUUCGUCCGCGGGGGGCACGUUUAUGGAAAUCACGUUAGGAGAUGCUACAAAACUUCUUGAUAAUAUUAUGGCAAAUUAUUCUCAAUGGCACACCGAACGAUCUACUAGUAAAAAAGUGCAUCCUAUAGAAGAAAUCAAUGUUUUGAGUGGAAAGAAGGAUGAACUAAUGAAAAUGUUUGCUACUAAAAAUACUCCUCUUGAUCCCAAUGAUAUGCCUUUGUCUACUUUGAUUGAGAAUAAUAAUGAAUCUAUGGAUGUGAAUUUUGUUGGUAGGAAUAGUUGGAAACAAUGCUUAUAG